rnacentral:rRNA from 1 species
CCUACGGGAGGCAGCAGUGAGGAAUAUUGGUCAAUGGGCGCGAGCCUGAACCAGCCAAGUAGCGUGAAGGAUGACUGCCCUACGGGUUUUAAACUUCUUUUAUAAAGGAAUAGAGUGAGGCACGUGUGCCUUUUUGUAUGUACUUUAUGAAUAAGGAUAGGCUAACUCCGUGCCAGCAGCCGCGGUAAUACGGAGGAUCCGAGCGUUAUCCGGAUUUAGUGGGUUUAAAGGGAGCGUAGAUGGGUUGUUAAGUCAGUUGUGAAAGUUUGCGGCUCAACCGUAAAAUUGCAAUUGAUAUUGGCAGCCUAGAGUACAGUAGAGGUAGGCGGAAUUCGUGGUGUAGCGGUGAAAUGCGUAGAGAUCACGAAGAACUCCGAUUGCGAAGGCAGCCUACUAAACUGCCACUGACAUUGAUGCUCGAAAGUGUGGGUAUCAAACAGUAUUAGAUACCCUAGUAGUC